rfam:Saccharicrinis fermentans DSM 9555 = JCM 21142 DNA, contig: JCM21142.contig00161.
UCAGGUGGUUAUAGCGACGGGGCUCCACCUCUUCCCAUUCCGAACAGAGAAGUUAAGCCCGUUAGCGCCGAUGGUACUGCGUACAGUGGGAGAGUAGGUCGCCGCCCAUC